rnacentral:rRNA from 1 species
UACGAAGGGGGCUAGCGUUGCUCGGAAUCACUGGGCGUAAAGGGCGCGUAGGCGGCGUUUUAAGUCGGGGGUGAAAGCCUGUGGCUCAACCACAGAAUGGCCUUCGAUACUGGGACGCUUGAGUAUGGUAGAGGUUGGUGGAACUGCGAGUGUAGAGGUGAAAUUCGUAGAUAUUCGCAAGAACACCGGUGGCGAAGGCGGCCAACUGGACCAUCACUGACGCUGAGGCGCGAAAGCGUGGGGAGCAAACAGG